rnacentral:lncRNA from 1 species
CACAGUCAGCGUCUCCUCGACACGGAAGGCUCUCUUCUCUCAUUGAUUACGGAGCUGGGCGCUAAGAGAAAGUUCACUGACUGAAGGAAUUGAUGUCCACUAUGGCUACGUUUCGCUUUGGGCAGCACAUCAUAAAGUCCUCGGCUGUGUUUUUGAAGACGGAGUUGUCCUUCGCACUAGUCAACCGAAAGCCGGUCGUGCCUGGUCGGCCGUAUCUCCAGAUGUUUACCAUACAGCGCUGCACAAGAGCUUCUCUCCGG